GUUUUUUUAGCUUAAGGUUAAAAGCAUGAGUUUGAAGAACUUAUUAUAAUUAUAUAAAUUAAAAAACA
rnacentral:tRNA from 1 species